GACUGGCUGAUCCUGCCUUCAAUCAUAUGCUUGUUUAAAAGAUUAAGCCAUGCAUGUCUAAGUAUAAGCCGCACGAUCGGCGAAACUGCGAAUGGCUCAUUAUAUCAGCUACAAUCUACUCGAUUUAUAAAGUUACACGGAUAACUGUAGCAAUACUAGAGCUAAUACGUGCGAAAGGGCCGGAACGGGUUUCGAUCCGCGAAGGCCGUAGUUGCAAGGCGAGAAACCGGUUCGGGGUAUUCCAAACUUCCAAAAUGCGAAUUCUGGAGGGCUCCGAUCCUGUAAGACGAAUCAUUGCAAAGCGUUGCGAAUCGGGGGCAAAAGCUUCCGAUGAUGCGAACGAGUAUCUGCCCUAUCAACUUUCAAUCGUAGUGUAGGGGACUACGAUGGUGAUAACGGGUACGGGGAAUUAGGGUUCGAUUCCGGAGAGUUAGCCUUAAAAAUGGCUAACAUUACCAAGGUAAGCAGCAGGCGCGUAAACGAUCCAAUCCCGAUUCGGGGAGAUAGUGACAAGAAAUAUCGGUGUGGGGCCUUUAUAGGCUUCACGAUCGAAAUGAGUACAAUUUAAAAACCUUAACGAGGAACAAUUGGAGGGCAAGUCUGGUGCCAGCACCCGCGGUAAUUCCAGCUCCAAGAGCGUAUAUUAAAGUUGUUGCGGUUAAAAAGCUCGUAGUUGAACCGAGAGGGCGGAGCACGGAUUUAAAAAGCUUUCGGGCCUUCGCUUCGCGCGGGGGUUCGGGGGUCGUGGGUUCGUCCUCGAAUUUGCGAUGAACUAAACCGGCUUGGAGGGGAUUCCUUCCGUCUUCUUCGUGUAAAAAGCGAAGGGGGGGGAGGAUUCGUCUUCUUCUCGUCGGAUCGCAGAGUUUUGGUUUGAAUAAAUUAGGGUGUUCAAAGCAGACGAAUACGUCUUGAAUAGAUUAGCAUGGGAUAAUGAAAUAAGACCUUCAAGAAGGGGAAAAAGCGGCUCUUCGUAGUCGUCGUUUCUUCUUUUCGGCUUAAGUUUGCUGGUUUCUGAGGCCGAGGUAAUGAUCAAUAGGGACGGUCGGGGUCGCUCGUACUCGGUGGUGAGAGGUGAAAUUCUAAGACCCAUCGAAGACGAACAAGUGCGAAGGCAUUCGACAAGGAUGUUUUCUUUAAUCAAGUUCGAAAGUUAUGGGAUCGAAGAUGAUCAGAUACCGUCGUAGUCAUAACCGUAAACUAUGUUGACUCGGGAUCGGAGGAUGUUACAUGGAUGACUCUUCCGGCACCGUGUGCGAAAGCACAAGUAUUCGGACUCCGGGGGGAGUAUGGUCGCAAGGCUGAAACUUAAAGAAUCGACGGAAGGGCACCACCAGGUGUGGAAUCUGCGGCUUAAUUUGACUCAACACGGGGAAACUUACCCAGUCCUGACGCGAUGAGGAUUGACAGAUUGAUAGUUCUUUCUUGAUUUUGUGGAAGCCGGUGCAUGGCCGUGAUUAGUUGGUGGAGCGAUUUGUCUGGUUAAGUCCGAUAACGAACGAGACCUAAAUUUAUUAAAUAGUGGUGCGGACAAGGGGGCUUUCGCGCCACCGAAUUCGGGG
rnacentral:rRNA from 1 species